CUGAAAGUCAUCUGUUACGACAGAUUUUACGGAGAUCCUGCUAGAAAACUUGAUACUCCUUGAUGGCUGAGAGAAAAUCAGGAAAUUAGUGGGCAGCCAUGUAAAUUAAUUUCUGGUUUUAUGCCUGAACUAAAUGAGGGGAAAAGUUUGAAUUCAAAUCUUUUUAAAAGUUUUAUUCUCUUUCAUUUUAAAGGGAAAAUCUUGUGAUAGAGGAUUCGGUUGUUUUGCUUUGAGAAAGGAUUUGACCUCUUGACCUGACAGAUGUGAAAAACUACUUUGAUUGCUACCUUUUGUUCCCCCUCAAGCAUCCCUUACUCUUACCAAACAGACCUUGAAAGUUAGUCCUUGAAUUUGACCGGUGACAGAGCUAUAGUUGUGCCCUUUUGUAUUUACAGAUACAUCACUGAUUUGGCUGCAGAGCUUCUUUCUGUGUGACUGUGUGUAUUUAUGUGUGUUUGUGUGUGUGUGUGUGUGUGUGUGUGUGUGUGUGUGUGUGUGUGUGUGUGUGUGUGUGUGUGUGUGUGUGUGUGUGUGUGUGUGUGUGUGUUGGCCAUGCAGACACGUGCAGCCCUGGGCGAGGGCGCGGUCAGAGCCGGGCCAGCAGCUCAGUGAGCGUGAAGCCGGCUGUGCAUUUAUGCAACAGACAGGACAGGUGCAUCAUGCCUGCCGGUUCCUCGGGGGAACGGUGAACAUAGUGCAGCUCCUCUCAGGUGUGAGAUUACAGUUUCUCUAUCACGCAGAUCUUUGAAUCUAAUGUGCACAGGCAUGUUCCUCUCGAGCUCUGCGGCGGAUGAUGCUGAUGGGGUCGGAAAUGUCAAUGAGACUUAAUGAUAUUCCUCCGUUUUACCUGAUCGGACUUGUCAUCACUUUUUGUUUCAGCAGGAGAAAAGUCAACAGGUUUUUAACUGUGUGAGGGUAAAAAGAGUGACGGUUGUGAAACAAAGUUUAACUCUGCACGCAUGAAAUAAAUUAGAAUGUUUUUCACCCUGGAAAUCAAAUAUUGAUCACAGAACAGAGUAACUUGGAUUACCUUUUGUUUCAAUCAAUAAAAUAUAGAUGUAUAGUUUUAAAAUGAAGUGGUGACAAAAGUUUCUUGAUCACCUUUUAAAAUUCUUCCAAAACUUGUAUCAUCACUGCCUACUAGAAUUUAACCUUUUACUAAAUUAUGUUUUCUCUUUCAACUAAAGAGGAUUUUUAAAUAUUUGGACCUUGUCACAUAAGUUAGAUCUCAGCUGGAUGUCUUCAUCAGCUGCAGCCCUUCAAAGUGACACAGGAGGAUGAGAAAGGGUCUGUGUGCUAAUAAGUUUAAUCUGCCUGCCUCCCUGCAAUAGAUUCAGCAGUGGCGACAUCAGGUUGCUGUCUUGGUUCCCCGACAACAAAAGAGGAAAGCGUCCGUGAUGUUUAACCAGCUCCGCCAGGGUCAAGAAUGCAGCCCACUGGCGAGGGGACAGAAUUCCUUACAGAAGUGAUCUCUCCUCCCUCCUUUUGAAGUGGGACCCGCCGAGAUCCGUGAGUACGGUGACUCUCUGAAUCACAGGAUCCCGGCUCCGCUUGAAUCCCAGACUGGCCUAACCUGGAGGGUCAGCCUGAGUUUACUUUCUCAGAGAUGCGGGGCCUGCCCAAAGAAACAGAAUCUAUGCAGCUUAAACUGUUGGGUG